GUUGAGUGACAAAGGUAAAAUCCCAAAUUGAUUCCGAUCGCCCAUACAAACGAAAUCUUGGUUUCCAUAAGUAAAGCUUCUUCGUAUAGAAAGUUCUUGUCUUCAAGAUCCAAUCGUCAAUCAAAUAGAUUGAAUCAAUCAAAUCAAUCUUAAUGUGGAAUCCAAACCAGAUCACUAGCCAUUAUAUGAUUGGGCUUGAGUUACGUUCUGUCGAGUCUGGAUGUAAAGUCUGAGAGCAAUAGACUUUACAAUCUGAGUCUGAGUUGUGAUAGACUUUGCAAUCUGGGUCUGAACAUAUCUGCUUCUAAACAGAUUUAGCUUUAAGGUCUGUACCCAGUUCAGCUUCAGCAUAAAGUCUGUCUUCUGGUUCAUCAGUCACGUUCAGUCUGGAAUUAGUUAGAGUGAGCAGACUUCUGAUGUAGAACAGACUUUGACACUAAAGUCUGGCAGUAUUCAGACUUUGAGUCUUGAGUCUGGCAAUCUUUAGACUUUGAGUCUUGAGUCUGGCAAUCUUUAGACUUUGAGUCUUGAGUCUGGCAGUCUUCAGACUUUGACACAGAAGUUUGGAAAUCUUCAAAAUAUACUCUGGACAUAUGUUACGUUCAGUCUUCUGGCCGUCUUCUGACUUUGAUAAUAUCCUCUACAUGUUCUAACAUUUGCAUGGUCUAUUACUCAACCAUCAAACAUGUUAGUAGCCUUUGAUUUAUUUUGUCAUCUUCAAAACAUCAUAAGGGAUUUCCCUAACAACAUGCAUGAUUAACUAAUUAAAUCAUUAAUAUAAUCUAACUAACCAUCUAAGUCCUAAUUACAUUAAACUAAACACCUCUUAAAUGUAAUUAGCCUACUAAGAAGAGUUUAGUGCAUAAACUCACCGGUUUAUUGCGGAAACCGGUUCACCGCAAUGACGACGCGACGGCGGCCGAAGUCCAAAUUUUCGGCGGCAUCGAUGGACACUCGGGCCGGGCCCAAAAGCCUUGCAAGCCCACAGAAAAUUGCUGGGCUUGAUCUUGGGCUUGGGUUGCAGCUGGGUUGGGCUUGCUUCGCAGGCCCAAGAUGGGCUGAAUUGCUGAAUUAAUGGGCUGGCUUCUUGGGUUGAAACUUGGGCUGCAACUUAAAUGGACAAAGCUGUCGUGGGCUUCAAAAACUGGGCUGUUGGGCUUUGAGAUAUUCACGUGGGCUGAGAUGGGCUGGCCUUGGCUUCGCGGCUUGGGCUGCUGCUUGGUGAAAAUUCGACUGGACUGGGCCGGUCAAUGAACUACACGGCCAAGCGGAGCAAGAACAAAGGAAGGUGGGCUGGGAAUUGCGGGCUCGUUGAAACGUUGAAGCAGAUGGGCCGUUGAAGAAGUUGCCGGUUCGUGGGAAAUCUUCGGCUUCGCUGGCGUUGUAGGGAAUCGACGGAGGGAGAUGCAAACGUGGCUAUGGGUUGGGGAAAUGGAGGAACCGGCGGAGGAGUCAAAGCUGGGGUCUCUUUGGAGUUUGCAGUUGACUCGGAGGAGGAAUCCAGGCGUGAGGGACUUCGGUGGAUGGAGAAGUUGGCGCAUGAAGAGAAGUCAACACCAAAAGAUUCUAUGGGAUGUUGGUGCUGAUUGUUGACUCGAUGAAGCAAACCCACGAGGAUCGGGGUGGGGUCUUCGUGGCAGAAGAAGAAAGAUCGGUGGAGGAGCAGGCGGUCUUGAUUCGGUGAGGGGAGUAGAGAAGACAAAGAAAAAUGAAAGAAGACCGAAGCGGUUCAAGGAAAGAAAGAAAAUUGGAACCGCGGAGGGGAGGGAAUUGAUCGAGCUGGUGUGCGAAAAGAUGAGGGAGAGAGUGACUUGAGCGUGCGGAGGAAGUUUGGGAAAAGUGGGUACAAAGUCUACAAGCUUAUCCCCUUGAUUAAAGGCUUG
rnacentral:lncRNA from 1 species